rnacentral:rRNA from 1 species
AAACCUACGGGGGGCAGCAGCCGCGGUAAUACGUAGGGGGCAAGCGUUAUCCGGAUUUACUGGGUGUAAAGGGAGCGUAGGCGGUUCAGCAAGUCAGAAGUGAAAGCCCGGGGCUCAACUCCGGGACUGCUUUUGAAACUGUUGAACUAGAUUGCAGGAGAGGUAAGUGGAAUUCCUAGUGUAGCGGUGAAAUGCGUAGAUAUUAGGAGGAACACCAGUGGCGAAGGCGGCUUACUGGACUGUAAAUGACGCUGAGGCUCGAAAGCGUGGGGAG